rnacentral:rRNA from 1 species
AUGCGCGCGCAAUUAAUGCCCAGUUGCCCGUCGGUCCGUUUGGUGUGCCCAGCACAAUCUUCUCUCCUUCCCAUCGAUUAUUUUCUUUUCUCCCUCCAGCCUCUACACUUCAUCUACAGAAGGGGCAACCCAUCGUGCCCUCCUUCAGAAAUCUUAUCCUGUCUACACUACGGGGCGGUGGCGGCGGCGGAUGGGAUCCCAUCUCCAUGCCAGGUGCUCCUCGGGCAUGACAGCCGAUCUGGCUCACCUCCAUGGCACUCCGGGAUUCGCUGGGAUGGAUCAUCAAGAUGGCAGUGUCCUGAUCUGCCCUCCCACCGUCUAUGUCUUUGUUCCAUCCAAGGUAUCUCCGGUGCUACUCCUCCACUGGCUGUCUGCACCACCCAAGCCAACCGCAACCACUUCUUGCGUCCACCUCCCACACAGGUUAAUAUUGCAGAAAUUUCUUCACUUCCUGCACAUAGAUCAAGAGAAAGGAUGACAAAGACUAGAUAA